rnacentral:rRNA from 1 species
CAGCAGCCGCGGGAAUACGAAGGGGGCUAGCGUUGCUCGGAAUCACUGGGCGUAAAGGGUGCGUAGGCGGGUCUUUAAGUCAGGGGUGAAAUCCUGGAGCUCAACUCCAGAACUGCCUUUGAUACUGAAGAUCUUGAGUUCGGGAGAGGUGAAUGGAACUGCGAGUGUAGAGGUGAAAUUCGUAGAUAUUCGCAAGAACACCAGUGGCGAAGGCGGCUCACUGGCCCGAUACUGACGCUGAGGCACGAAAGCGUGGGGAGCAAACAGGAUUAGAUACCCGUGUAGUCCCUGUCUCUUAUAC